AUUGAACGCUGGCGGCAGGCCUAACACAUGCAAGUCGAGCGAGCGGCGGACGGGUGAGUAAUGUCUGGGAAACUGCCUGAUGGAGGGGGAUAACUACUGGAAACGGUAGCUAAUACCGCAUACCAUCAGAUGUGCCCAGAUGGGAUUAGCUAGUAGGUGGGGUAACGGCUCACCUAGGCGACGAUCCCUAGCUGGUCUGAGAGGAUGACCAGACACACUGAAACUGAGACACGGUCCAGACUCCUACGUGGGGCAGCAGUGGGGAAUAUGGCACAAUGGGAGCAAGGCUGAUGCAGCCAUGCCGCGGGUGUGAAGAAGGCCUUCGGGUUGUAAAGCACUGUCAGCGGGGAGGCGUUACCCGCAGAAGAAGCACCGUCUAACUCCGUGCCAGCAGACGCGGUAAUAA
rnacentral:rRNA from 1 species